CGCCAGACUCCUACGGGAGGCAGCAGUGGGGGAUAUUGGGCAAUGGGGGGAACCCUGAUCCAGCGACGCCGCGUGAGUGAAGAAGUAUUUCGGUAUGUAAAGCUCUGUCAGCAGGGAAGAAAGAAAUGACGGUACCUGACCAAGAAGCCCCGGCUAACUACGUGCCAGCAGCCGCGGUAAUACGUAGGGGGCGAGCGUUAUCCGGAAUUACUGGGUGUAAAGGGAGCGUAGACGGCGAGGUAAGCCUGAAGUGGGAGCCCGCGGCCCAACCGCGGAACUGCUUUGGGAACUGUUUUGCUGGAGUAUGGGAGGGGGAAGCGGAAUUCCUGGUGUAGCGGUGAAAUGCGUAGAUAUCAGGAGGAACACCGGUGGCGAAGGCGGCGUACUGGACCAUAACUGACGUUGAGGCUCGAAAGCGUGGGGAGCGAACAGGAUUAGAUACCCUGGUUCCA
rnacentral:rRNA from 1 species